UAAAAUGAUGUAUUUGAAUACGGUAAAAAACCUGAUUUCCAUGUAAGGUUUUUCACCGUUUAGCCUAAUAAAACCUAAAUAUUUUCAAGUUCAGAAACGAUGUGACAACACGGCAUAUAGCAGUGGACACACGGUGCUGUGGAAGUUAAAUUGUUAGGUUGUUGAGGAAAGACGUUUAAAUACGCAAUAAGUCAUCCAAUGCAUGUUAAGUUUUUUUGCUCCACUUCCAAAUUCAAAGACACCACAGUUGGCGACGAGAAAAAAGUGAUAGAAGUAUUGUAAAAUAUUACAAGUUAUUAUAAAUCGCGAACUUGUGAGAACGAAAGAAACUAGUGAUAAAAAAAUGCAUCGUACACGUUGAUCGGAAAUAUGCGAGAAUUUUGGUUUCAAGAUUCGGACUGGAGUAUUUUCAAAGCAACAUUGUGGCAAUAUUUCCUUGCAAAUAAGUCGACGGAAAGUGAUGUGAAGAGAACUAUUCUUCUGAAUGCGUGCGAUGAAGAAGCCUAUAGGUUGAUUCAUAGUCGUUGACUUCCUGAAAGUCCAGAAGAAAAAAGUACGAGGAACUAGUGGAAUUGUGUGACAAACACAGUCAGUGCUUUUGCGGCGAGAUAUAAAGUUUAUAGUGCCGUUAAAAAUUAAGUUGAAACAGUUCAUCAGUGGGCAGCGAGAGUAAAAUGUUGAGUUGGAAAGUGUUCCUUUGAAACCGAACUCAAUGUACUUUUACGUGACAAAUUUAUCAAGCGGCUUGACGAUCCUUCGUUGAUGCAAAAAAUUUUCAAUGAAAAAAAUCACAGUGGAAUUCGACAAGGUCAUAGAAUUAGUGAGCUGCCAAGUUGAAAAAACCAGACUUAAAAAACAGCCUACGAGUGAAGGAAGUUUUUUAUAAACACAUGGGUCAACGGAAUCCACAACAUUGAAAUCGUCAGAGCUUUGACAAGCAAGGUCAAGUAGUAGAGUCAUGACAUCUUCAACCGGCAGAGGAAGGUCGACGAAACACAUGGCAACAAGGAGUCGGAUAUCAUAUGACGGGUCUACAUCUGUAAUACCAUAAAAAAAAGAGAAGAAGAAGAAGUGUCAAACGUGAUCAUAUAAAAGAUAAGUGUUUUUUCAAAUAUUCAUGUAAUAUUUGUAAACAAAAGGUUCAUUUACCGAAAAUAUGUAGACGAAAUAGAAAUAUUUUUUUUGCUGAGUAAUACAGGUUGUUAUAACGGUGGCACCAUACAUUUGGAGUUGAAAGAAGGAGCACAGCCAAAGUUUUUCAAGCAUUUACAUUUGCUAUGCGUGAAGGCGUUGAACAAGAAUUGAAGCAACUUUUGGAUGAAGGUAUUCUGAGUCCAGUGUGACACAGCGAUUGAGCAUCAUCCAUCGUUCCAGUAGUUAAGAAAGGUGAAGGAUUUAGAAUAUGCGGUGAUUUUAAGGUUACCCAGUCUUACAAGCUGACAAAUGAUGAAUUAUUUUGUUAGUUACAAGGGGGACUGGAGUUUACUAAAAUUGACUUUGCCAAUGCUUAAGAACAAGUUGAAGUCUACGCUGACUUUAGAUUGCCAACAACAAUAAGUUAGGGGUAAUUUGUUUAUAUUAGGUUACCUUUUGGGAUUACGAACUCUCCGGCUAUUUUUCAGGCAAUAAUGGAAAAAAAUUAGCUGGUAUAGAAGGAGUAACCUGUUUUCUUGAUGAAGUUCUGAUAACAGGGCGCAAUCGCUCAGAGAAUGUAUAGGAUCCCAGAAGUUCUUAAAAGAUUUGAAAAUAGAGCGUUAAAAAUAUCUAUAAACAAAUGUGAGUUUUUCAAAGAGUCCGUGAAAUAUUUGAGAUACAAAAUUGAUAAUAAAGGGUUGCAUGCAUGUAAUGAUGAAGUUAAAACAGUUUUGGAAAUUUCUUAUUAAUAUCAAUGCUAAAUGUCUUCUAACUAUAUUUGGAAAUAAGGACUUGUCUAUUUUAGCAGCACAUAGAUUGCAGCAGAGGGUUAUAUUUAGUUAUACCUACGAGACUGAAUAUGUAAAGUCGUUGAAUAAUCAAGCUGAUUUUUUUCAAAGAUGACAAUAAAUGAAGAAGCAAAUGAAAGUGAAUGCUCUAAUCUAGAUUCAAAAUUCAUGUCUUCAAAUAAUGAUUUAUCCAUUGAUUAGAAAUAAAUUACAGUUUAAACAAUGAAGGAUUCAGAAAUAGAGGAGGUUUGCAGGCAUGUAAGACUGGGACGGCCAAAAUCGCUGAAAAUACAGUUAAAACAGUAUGCUAACUCUAAAAACAGUUUUUCUUUUUAUGAUGGAUGUUUGAUGCUGGGUCAUAAGACUGUCAUUCCAGCCUCUCUUAGGGGUAUUUUUUUGAAAAACCUUCAUUCAACACAUUUGGGCAUGGUUAAAUGUAAAAGCUUAGCUCGUUCUUAUGUAUGGUGGCCUUACAUACAUUUAGAUAUUGAAAAUAUGGUCAAAAGCUGUAAAUAUUGUAUAAAAAUUCAAAAUUCUCCUGCAAAAUUCCGCUACAGACUUGGGAAUUUCCAAAGAAACAUUGGUAUAGAGUACAUAUUGAUUAUGCAGGUCAUAUUUUUCAGAAAAAAAUAUAUUUUAGUGUUGAUUGAUGCAGGUAGUAACUGGCCUGAAGCUAUUUCAAAAUGUAAUAUUUAGUCAUGUAAUACUAUCAGUCUUUCAAGGGAAAUUUCUCCAUUUCACCUCGAGUCCAAUGGAUAGGCUGAAAACUUUGUAAAAGCUUUGUUCAAAGUUUCAAAAUAAGGCAAUUCAAAACAUUUGAGUCUAGUUUGCUUUUCUAUAGAAUAACACCUCAUUGCACAACAAUGGUAUCUCCAGCACAGUUGAUGCUGAAUGGGAAUCCCAGAUCUGUUUUGGAUUUUGUACGUAAAUAUGAUGGAAAUUAGAGUCGUAAAUAUAAGCUAAACAAUGAUGUAAAAAAUUGGGUUAAUAAGAAGGAUAUAAAGGGAUUAUGUGAAUCAAAACAAACUUAGUUGGAUUGAGGGUAACAUAACUCUCUCCGGUUUUCAAAACCCAAUAAGUUCACUUGCCUCAAUCGUGAACAAAUAUAUAAAUAUGUCAAUAAUAUAAUGAGAAACUAUUAUAGUUUGGUGUUAGGGAAAUGCAAUUCAGCACCUUAAACUAUUCAAGAUUAGAAACGUAUACACAUACACACACAAACUGUUCUGGUAUGUAUCAUGUUUAUGAACAUCUUUCAUCACACUGAAAUUUAAAAGAAAUUAAUUCAUUUUCAAUAAAAAGGUAGAAUUUACAAAUUCUGGAUUUAUAAAUAGUUUCUGUAUCCAAUAAUUUAUUAGGUUCAUAUAAAUUUCAGUUGAAACCAGAUAAUCUGAUUUAAAAGUACAUUUUAUCGAUUUACUUUGCAAACCUUCUAAUGGCUAUUGAAUUUUGCAAAUUUGAGUUUACUAGGUUUUGAGAACAGAAAAGAUAGUUUUUUUGAAAAAAUAACCAUCGGGUUAUUCCAUUUUUGAGAAAUUUCGAUCAUAACUUAUGCAUGAAUAUGGCAAGUUACUGACAAACAGGACUCUUGUAUAACACAGUAACUUAUUGGGUGAAUACUUCAAUUUGCCACCCGUCGCAUUUCAGCAGCACUUCUAGUGAUUUAACUUUGUAUUCAGAUUGUGGAAGGUUGCAGAUCCAAAAAAAAACAGUAAAAAAUAUCGACUUCUUCAUAGUGGAGUAUAGGAUUUUCAACUAAAAUUUGAAAUAUCGACUCCCCCAUAUUGAAUAUUUCAUUUACAGUUUUUGGGUAUAAGAUUUUCAAGUAAAACUUGAAAUGACACCCCCAUAAUGAAUAUUUUAUUUAGGUUUUUUGAAGUAUAAGAAUUUCAACUAAAACUUGAAAUAUCGACUCCCCCAUAGUGAAUAUUUUAUUUACAGUUUUUGAAGUAUGAGAUUUUCAACUGAAACUUGAAAUAUCGAC
rnacentral:misc_RNA from 1 species